UAUUCUGUAUUCUGUAAUGGAAUACCUUUUAAAAGUAACCUUCCCAACACUAAGUCCAAGUGUAUAAAACCCCUGUGAUUUGUGUAUAUAGACUGUUCCACGGACCCCCUCUAACCACUGCUAAGAUGGUACAUUCCUCCCAUCCUUUGUUUGUGUUUGCGCUGGUUCACCGUGAUAGCGCUGGUGGAGCUGGGCUGUUGUACUGAACAUGUGUAGUGCGUGUGCGUGAAUGAUAAGUAAGUGCCUUGUAUUUGUUUGUUCUAUGGUUGUAACUUAUCAUAUACUUAGCUAUGUACAUUGGGUGAUGCUUAGUAGAGUUUUCCAGCUGUUCGUGUAGCCACGAGACAAUGUAUAUUCACGCUGAUUUGACCAAAAUGGCGCUACCCUUGUGAACUGAGCUGCCCAAAGUAAAGAUGGAGUAUAUCCCUGUGCAGCAGCCCAUUUGUGUCCACCAGGGGGUGGUGUUUAAUCAUUUCUGUUCAACCCUUUCUGUAUUAUUUAGACCAGUUUGGUUGACUUUAAUUGUCUGCUAAUUGUAAUUUCUGUUAUUUUUACAGAACCACACAUACAUAUACUCACACGAAUUCAUUUCUGGAGAUGUUUGGAUUAAAGGAACCCUAAUUAUCAUUGCUGUGGACCCUCUUUUUCAUCAUAUAAGUCACCUGUGCCGUCUGACCGAGGAUAGGAAAAUCCUGCUGUAAUUUGCCAGUCUAUUAAGCACACACAUGUCCAGUUCAGUGUUGGUUGUUAAGCAUAUCGUGGGAAUGCUUUACAACCAUUCAGAGAUGAACUUACACACUUGCUUUAAUUCUCUGGGAUAGCUUGCUCAGAGAUGUUCAGAGGUGGUUUUGUGAUAUUUAAUCGAUUGGAUCACAUUUUUAUUUCUCCCUGAUAUCCGAUCCAGUAACUUAGGUCAGGAUCAGACUGAUAGCAAUUGGGUCAGUCCAUUUCUAGGAGAUACCACCACGGUCUCGCAGAGAAUCACAUCAACCACUAUUCCUUAAAUAUUUACGUGAUGAAUUAUUAGUUGAAGGUGUGGGAAACGGGGGGAGACCAGGAAGGCAACUCAAUAGAAAUGAGCCUCCCAAAUCAUUUGUGCAAGAUGACCCCAAAACACUUGACAGUCACUCUGUGAGGUAAUGGCCUUUUUAAUUAUUUUGUUGUUAUUUUAUACUUUUUAAAAUUAAGCUAAAAAAGAGGUGCUCAAAUGAGGAAGAAGAAAAGAGAACAGAAUAUUUAGGACUGCCAGGACCUUCAGUUUAAGCACUGUUGUCUUUGAUUGUUGUUUAUGAUGCUGAACACAAGGCCCAGAAGAUGAAGUCAUACCGAGUAAUUUGUGAUUUUCUGAAGGUAUUUGUACACUGUUAUGACCUACAUGUUGAAAAUAUGUGCUUAUACUCUAAUGGGUAUGUAAUAUAUCUAGAAGCUGGUCCACUGAAAUAAGUCAGGUGCAGUGGUUAAUGUGUUUUUCUUGUUUGUUUCAAGCGUAUGUACUUGAUAUUUGACUUUCUUUUAGAAAUAUAAAUAUUCAGCUUUAGGCAUGAUAAUAAAGUGACUCGUCCUAUGACCUUCCCCAUGGUGCUAAUCCAAAGCUAGAAUGAUGCUAUUGAUUGAGAGAGAGAGAGAGAGAGAGAGACUGAGGCUCAAAGAUCAUUGUAACUGAUAAAUAACAUAAGUGGGGAUUCAAAAUUCAAUUCAUGAGUCAAAUAAUAUUUUUAUCAUAUCUUUAUUCUGUCUUUAUUUACUGAUUCCUUUGAUAUUACUCAAAGGUCACUAGGUGACGCAUGGCGCUAAGUAGAAAUGGAAACCCCCUUAGAUGCAAGUUCUGCAGUCAAGCUGUAAACAAGCUCAUGUCAUAUUCAUCUUUCUUUUAAAAUACUGGCAACAUACCCCUCAUAAAGGCACCAUCCAGAUCACUGUGUCUCAUGUACAAAACCCUUAUCAUCUCUCACAGAAAUCCUUAAAGCAGUCCAGUCAUAUUUACCUUUUAAAACUGAUGAUAACAUCAUAGCAUCAUUAAAGUGUCUCUGCUAAUGUUAGGAUAUUUUCAGUGGGCUAAUAUUAGUGCUGAAACAAUGGGGUCAAAUGUAAACGUAGCCAUAAUAGAGCUUUGCUCUGAAUAUUAACACCUACUCUUUAGGAGAAUGUCGGAGGCAUAAACCCGUAUGCACAUGUAAAUAUAACUCUGGUAACUCUGGCAACACUGUAGAUCACAACUGAUUUAGUUCAGUGCUAUGAAUCCAGAAUAAAAAAGUGAAUGUGAAAUGACUACAUGUUGUGUUGAAGGCAGCGCUAGUGUGACUUUCUGGUUAUAAAUGGAAUUACUGAGGUUUAACCCAUAUAACAGCAGAUUGGAAAUAUUUAGAGUUGUUUCCAGUCUGUUUUUGUGUCUGAUGCAAAACAUCACUGAGUUCAGUGUUUGUCUUUGUGUCAGACUGUGAGAACACAGCUCUGUUGUUGACUCUGGUGUCACACCAGUUUAAUAUCUGUACAACUACACGGUGCAAAAUAUUCAUUUAGUCAGUGCUUUGUUAUUGGUGAGGAAUUCCAAUGACUUAAAGCAACUUGAGCUUUCCUAUAGUGCUACAUGAAAAUUUAGUUAUAAGCUGUUAGUAUUACUGUGACUGACUAAGCCAUCACUGGUAUAAUGUAAGUAUAACAAAGGUGAAUGUUAAAAAGCUACAAAUAGAUUUGAAAACGUCAGUCUGUGUUCUCUUUCACCUACUACAGCAACAGCUCUGCUUCUCUAUUUACAAUCUUUACAUAGUUGUUUUACAAAGGUCAUACAGGAAGCAUCUAUUGGUUGGUCUCCGGCAAGACAUCAUGGAGGUCAGAGCUCUGUGCAUCAGACUGUUGAUAAUUGUGCUGAUCCUGCAGUGUGCACAUGAUCAGAAAGUUGAUGCAGUUUCUCUUCGUAUUGUUCCAAACAAAUCCCAGUUUUUUGAAUAUGAGUCAGCCAGCUUUUA